AAUUCAAACUUCAUCGCUAAAUUUUAGAUUAGGGCGAAUUUCGAAUUCGUCGCAAAGUUUAGGAUUAAAUUCCUGAUCCCUAACUCUAAAUCCCGAUCUUCUCCUCUCUUACACGCGACAUCGACCCCUCAACCACCGUGCCCUCUCCGACCUCUACCGCCAUGCGAUCUCUUCUACAGAAACUCCUAUUCCAAGGUCUCACCUUCUCUUCGCCUCCAGCCACUCCGUUGUCUGCAGCUACAGCAAGUGGGUCGAUCGUCUCCAUUUCACCCCCUCCAUAGACACUGACAAAUCCUCCCCUUUCCUCCCCAUCAACUUCUACCAAGUACCCGACAUUGGACGCCACCGUCACCUAUUUGGGUUCACAAAAGUUAAUGGAGAAGGCCAAGCCCAUUCCUGGUGCCAAGGUGGAGAACAACAAGUUUUGUGUAUCCGUCCACUUCAGAUGUGUGGAAGAAAAGAUUCUAAAACACUAUCACUGGAGGAUUCCCAUGUCGAAGGAUGUGAUCCGUUAGAUAGGUGCAUCAACGAGGAAGGAUAUGUUUGCUGCUUGCCUGAGUAUCUCAACAAAUUGCUUGAAAAAAUAAUCCAAAAUAAGAAUCCCUUUACAGGUUCAGAGUGGACUGGACAGUCCGGGAGCUGAGGAUUACUCAAAGGAGAAAGCUGUUGACACUUGACAGCAUUCUAGGAACUCAUGUUUGUUUGUUUGUUUCAUCCUCAACCUGUUUGUUUGUUUUCUAAUGCAGGAAAGAAGAAGAGAGUCUGGAAGGAGGAGAAAGUGAAUACCGAGGAAGAAGAGGGAACUUAAACUUGAAGAAUGUGUGUUUUAUAUGAUAUGAUGACUUGUUUAUGGAUAUUUUCUUUGUUAUGGGAUUAUUUAAGUGUGUUUGUUUUGAAUUUGUAUCUUUGGUAAGCUUGAAUUUGUAUGUGUUGUAUAUGACUUGAGAGUAUAUGAUUGUGUUUAACCUUGAAUUAUGUGUAUGCUGAUCAUUAUUAAUAUGAAAUAGAGAGGUUUGAUUUGUAUUA